rnacentral:rRNA from 1 species
AGUGAACGCUGGCGGUAGGCCUAACACAUGCAAGUCGAACGGCAGCACAGUAAGAGCUUGCUCUUACGGGUGGCGAGUGGCGGACGGGUGAGGAAUACAUCGGAAUCUACUUUUUCGUGGGGGAUAACGUAGGGAAACUUACGCUAAUACCGCAUACGACCUACGGGUGAAAGCAGGGGAUCUUCGGACCUUGCGCGAUUGAAUGAGCCGAUGUCGGAUUAGCUAGUUGGCGGGGUAAAGGCCCACCAAGGCGACGAUCCGUAGCUGGUCUGAGAGGAUGAUCAGCCACACUGGAACUGAGACACGGUCCAGACUCCUACGGGAGGCAGCAGUGGGGAAUAUUGGACAAUGGGCGCAAGCCUGAUCCAGCCAUACCGCGUGGGUGAAGAAGGCCUUCGGGUUGUAAAGCCCUUCUGUUGGGAAAGAAAAGCAGCAGGUUAAUACCCCGCUGUUCUGACGGUACCCAAAGAAUAAGCACCGGCUAACUUCGU